rnacentral:rRNA from 1 species
GACACGCUGGCGGCGUGCCUAACACAUGCAAGUCGAGCGGGGUUGAAGCGAGAGGUAACUCGAACUUCUACCUAGCGGCGGACGGGUGAGUAACGCGUGGGCAACCUGCCUCAAGGUUUGGGAUAACAGCCCGAAAGGGCUGCUAAUACCGGAUAUGCCUAUGGCCUCGCAUGGGGCUAUGAGCAAAGGGGAAACCCGCCUUGAGAUGGGCCCGCGUCCCAUCAGCUAGUUGGUGAGGUAACAGCUCACCAAGGCGACGACGGGUAGCCGGCCUGAGAGGGUGACCGGCCACACUGGGACUGAGACACGGCCCAGACUCCUACGGGGGGCAGCAGUGGGGGAUCUUGCACAAUGGGCGAAAGCCUGAUGCAGCGACGCCGCGUGAGCGAAGAAGGCCUUCGGGUUGUAAAGCUCUGUCUGGAGGGACGAACAAAAUGACGGUACCUCCGGAGGAAGCCACGGCUAACUACGUG